rnacentral:tRNA from 1 species
GGUUGUGGCUCAAUGGUAAAGCCUUUGCCUACCAGCAUGCAUGAGGCCAUGGGUUCAAUCCCCAGAACUG